rnacentral:lncRNA from 1 species
UUUCGGGGAGGAAAUGUGCCGCCGACGCGGUGGGGUGGGACAGAGGGGAAGGGACACUGGUGUCAGAGCGCCUGCUUCCCUUCUGAUGCCUUGACUCCCUGCUGGGCUUACAGCACACACGGGGCUUGGGGAAGCCCUGCGAUCUGCGACAAACCUCAGAACCCAUCUGGAAGUGAGGGGCGCAGGGGGCUACCAGAAACUGUGGGCCCUGCACACGCGAAGCAAGCGGAGGAGACUGAGGCACAGAAAGCUGAAAUGACUGAGGGGAAGACACAAAGGCAUCCGGGCCAGCCCUAGAAGUCUCGGGGUCAACUCUGAGUGUGAAGAAGUGCUCUGCAGCACCCUUGGGGAUCCCCAGUGAUGCCCUCCCCUCGCCACGCUGUGGAGGAAGCUGCGGAGUCCUUGGUCUCGGUGCUGCGGUCGGCUUGCUGUGUGUCGGGGCGGUCACAUGCCUCUCUGAGCUUUGGUUUCAUCAUCUGGGAAAGGAUGGCAUUAGUCUUAAUCACGGACGGCAAACCAGUGAUUCGUGAGCUCAAUGUGGUUUUUCGAAUCACCCGUUUUCCCCUUCCUUUCUUGUGGACGUUUCAAACUCGCGUGAAGCAGAGGGAUGAGUCCAGCGGAAGUUCACAGCUCAGCUUCUACGAUUAUGAACAUGCACCUGGUUUUGUUCCAACUAUUUCUACUCUCCACCCACGUUCCCCCUAGAUUAUAUCAGAGCCAAUUACAG